AGCCCCGUACACAAAAAUGCACAUACUGUGAGCUCGAUGAGUAGGGCGGGACACGUGGUAUCCUGUCUGAAUAUGGGGGGACCAUCCUCCAAGGCUAAAUACUCCUGACUGACCGAUAGUGAACCAGUACCGUGAGGGAAAGGCGAAAAGAACCCCGGCGAGGGGAGUGAAAAAGAACCUGAAACCGUGUACGUACAAGCAGUGGGAGCACGCUUCGGCGUGUGACUGCGUACCUUUUGUAUAAUGGGUCAGCGACUUAUAUUCUGUAGCAAGGUUAACCGAAUAGGGGAGCCGAAGGGAAACCGAGUCUUAACUGGGCGUUAAGUUGCAGGGUAUAGACCCGAAACCCGGUGAUCUAGCCAUGGGCAGGUUGAAGGUUGGGUAACACUAACUGGAGGACCGAACCGACUAAUGUUGAAAAAUUAGCGGAUGACUUGUGGCUGGGGGUGAAAGGCCAAUCAAACCGGGAGAUAGCUGGUUCUCCCCGAAAGCUAUUUAGGUAGCGCCUCGUGAAUUCAUCUCCGGGGGUAGAGCACUGUUUCGGCAAGGGGGUCAUCCCGACUUACCAACCCGAUGCAAACUGCGAAUACCGGAGAAUGUUAUCACGGGAGACACACGGCGGGUGCUAACGUCCGUCGUGAAGAGGGAAACAACCCAGACCGCCAGCUAAGGUCCCAAAGUCAUGGUUAAGUGGGAAACGAUGUGGGAAGGCCCAGACAGCCAGGAUGUUGGCUUAGAAGCAGCCAUCAUUUAAAGAAAGCGUAAUAGCUCACUGGUCGAGUCGGCCUGCGCGGAAGAUGUAACGGGGCUAAACCAUGCACCGAAGCUGCGGCAGCGACACUAUGUGUUGUUGGGUAGGGGAGCGU
rnacentral:rRNA from 1 species